rnacentral:rRNA from 1 species
AAAACCACGAGUUUGAUCCUGGCUCAGAUUGAACGCUGGCGGCGUGCCUAACACAUGCAAGUCGAGCGGUAGCAGGCGUAGCAAUACGUGCUGACGAGCGGCGAACGGGUGAGCAAUGCUUCGGAAUCUGCCCAAUGGUGGGGAAUAACCAGCCGAAAGGUUGGCUAAUACCGCAUACGCCUACGGGGAAGGCAGGGAGUCGCAAGACCUUGCGCCGAUGGAUGAGCCGAAGUCGGAUUAGCUAGUUGGUAGGGUAACGGGCCUACCAAGGCGACGAUCCGUAGCUGGUCUGAGAGGACGACCAGCCACACUGGGACUGAGACACGGCCCAGACUCCUACGGGAGGCAGCAGUGGGGAAUAUUGGACAAUGGGCGAAAGCCUGAUCCAGCGACGCCGCGUGUGUGAAGAAGGCCUGCGGGUUGUAAAGCACUUUUAGUGGGGAUGAAAACGCCUAGAGCUAAUACCUCUGGGUCUUGACCUAACCCACAGAAAAAGC